rnacentral:rRNA from 1 species
ACGAACGCUGGCGGCGUGCUUAACACAUGCAAGUCGAACGAGGCCUUCGGGUCGAGUGGCGGACGGGUGAGUAACGCGUAGGCAAUCUGCCCUCUAGUGGGGGAUACCCAUCCGAAAGGAUGGCUAAUACCGCAUAAGCUCCGUGGUCGCGAGGCGAUGGAGGAAAGGGGAAACUCGUUAGGGGAUGAGCCUGCGUCCGAUUAGCUAGUUGGUGAGGUAACGGCUCACCAAGGCGACGAUCGGUAGCUGGUCUGAGAGGACGAUCAGCCACACUGGAACUGAGACACGGUCCAGACUCCUACGGGAGGCAGCAGUGGGGAAUUUUCCGCAAUGGGCGAAAGCCUGACGGAGCAACGCCGCGUGGGGGAUGAAGUCUUUCGGGAUGUAAACCUCUUUCAGUGGGGACGAGUCGAAGACGGUACCCACAGAAGAAGCAUCGGCUAACUACGU